rnacentral:misc_RNA from 1 species
AUAGAAGAGCUCCUGCAACAAGGAAGAAAAGAUGAGACUUCUUUGGAUUUUUUCGCUUGCCCUGGUAUUCAGUUUGGCUCUUUCCGACGAGUCUAACUGUUUUGGAAGCACGUGUGAGGAAUGUAUGAAAAACAGCGAGACUGGGAAAUGCAUCUGGUGCGGUGCCGCAAACUAUACUGCUGGUCCACGCUGCUUCUACGUGCGAGAUUUCGACGCGAGAGGCAAAUGUGCCGGGAGCAUGGUUAACUGGCCUACAAAGCUCGCCUACAUCAAGGCAAGGCAGCUCACUGACAAGGUCAUUGUAGGAAACGACAUAGUCCAAUUCAUAGGCCGGAAAGGCGGAGAGACGGAACACAGGGUCGCCAUUCGAGUUCCUGGAACAUACUCGCGCAAGAAAAAGGUGACGGCUGUAUUUAUCCUACCAAAUAUGGGCAAAACUGAACCUGUAGCACUGACGAUCGAUAUCAAUUGCCAAAACAGAGUUGUUUCGAGGAAGAAUCCUAACAAAGUGAAAUGCAAGAAACUCAGACGACAGCAAGAGAUUUAUUUCGAUGUGAAGAUUAAAUAUCUGGAGGAUAUGGCCCCAAAACAAAAAAAGAAAUAUAAGCUGAAAGUAAAGAUUGGGAAACAGAAGCAAAUUCUGAGAAUAAUUGCACAAGGAAUUGAACCAUGCAAAUGCAGCACUAAGAAAACAAAAGCACCUGUCUGCAAAUGGAAGAAUGACUUGGGCAGCAAAGGGAACGACAAAUGCGUGUGCACGAAUUCGAACUCUCCAGCCACUACACCAACGUCGGUGGUAGAGGGUACCCCUCCAGUCGGUGGCCCGGAAUUCGUGGGUGGUGGAUCAGGGGCUGUGGGGGGUGCCAUAGGGGGUGGUAUCGGGGGUCCCGUGGGAGGUGGUAUGGGUCAGGGAUUUACCAUUACAGAUGAGGUACUGAGCCAGUUACCUAUGGGGUCCCCUGGUAGUGAUAUUGAAUGCGAGUCCUGUAAGGAGAUGUGCCCUGUCUACGGUCAGUGUGUGGACUGCUUCGUCUUCUCCGGUUCUUCCAUGCCUAACGCCAGGUGUCGCCAGUUAUGCGGGGGUAGACGAUUUGCUCCAACCAUCAGACGAGUCCGAGGCUUUCCCGACGAAAUCAAUAAGUGUAGUUACACCGAUGAGCAAGGCUGCAAACUGAAGUUUCAGGUCAUACAGGACAGGGUAUUUGAAGUGUCUAUGAAAAAAGAUUGUGGAUUUUCAUUGUGUUCAAACAAUACGUGUCCAGCACCUAAUGGUGUAAGAUUGCUUUUAUUUUUUCCCAACUACCCCCUACCUUUUCUAAAAUAAGUGUAGAAAUGCCUUUUAGAGAUCCAACUAGAUUUAAUACAUAUUUAUUUAUAUAACACUACAUUUCAGUUUAUUUUACCAAUUUUGUAUUUAAAAAUUAAAAUUAUUUCAUUUUCUUUUUUUAUAAAAGAGGAUAUGCAGUGGAAAGGGUUUGUGCCAGUGUGGAGUCUGUGCGUGCGAGCCUGGGUAUUUCGGCCAAAGCUGUGAACAGUGCCAGAAUUGCAAUGCAAAAUGCUACGACCUGAUGCCCUGUGUUGCGUGUAUGUCCUUCAACGUGUUUAAGAAUUUCAAGAAUGCAGAGGAAUGUCGCACCAAUUGUGCACAGUACAAUAUUCAGACACUGGAAACGAUGUCUCCACCCCCACCUAGUGCCAGUCAAGGUCAAAUGAGUUUAUGUCAGGCAUUUGACUCGGACAAGUGUUUUUACACUUUCCAAUACACACAAACAGGAAAUGACGUCACACAAGUCAAAGUUCUUCCGCAAAAAAUUUGUCCGGAAUACGGCGGAAAGUGAGAGAGGGUCUACAUAGAUGAACCAAUCAUAUGAAUCAAUCUCUUAUUUUGUACAUUCAUAUUGCUUUUACAUAUUGAUAAGUCAAAAUGUAAUCAUAUAAUUACAUGUAUAUAUACUCAACGAAC